AACGAACGCUGGCGGCAGGCUUAACACAUGCAAGUCGAACGCGUGCAGCAAUGCACGAGUGGCGCACGGGUGAGUAACGAGUGGAUAUCUGCCUUUUGGUUCGGAAUAACCCCGGGAAACUGGGGCUAAUACCGGAUGGUUCCUACGGGAUAAAGAUUUAUCGCCAAAAGAUGAGUCCGCGUCUGAUUAGCUAGUUGGUGAGGUAAUGGCUCACCAAGGCGACGAUCGGUAGCUGGUCUGAGAGGACGAUCAGCCACACUGGGACUGAGACACGGCCCAGACUCCUACGGGAGGCAGCAGUGGGGAAUAUUGGACAAUGGGGGCAACCCUGAUCCAGCCAUGCCGCGUGAGUGAUGAAGGCCUUCGGGUUGUAAAGCUCUUUUGGCGGGGACGAUGAUGACGGUACCCGCAGAAUAAGCCCCGGCUAACUUCGUG
rnacentral:rRNA from 1 species